AUACGUAGGGGGCAAGCGUUAUCCGGAUUUAUUGGGUUUAAAGGGUGCGCAGGCGGCCAUUUAAGUCAGCGGUUAAAUCGUGGGGCUCAACCCCAUUCUGCCGUUGAUACUGGGUGGCUUGAUUGCGGUCGAGGUUGGCGGAAUUCGUUGUGUAGCGGUGAAAUGCAUAGAUAUGACGAAGAACACCGAUUGCGUAGGCAGCUGACCAGACCGCAAAUGACGCUCAUGCACGAAAGUGCGGGGAUCGAACAGGAUUAGAUACCCUGGUAGUCCGCACAGUAAACGAUGAAUACUUGUUUUCGGCGAUAUAAUGUCGGAGGCAAAGCGAAAGCGAUAAGUAUUCCACCUGGGGAGUACGCCGGCAACGGUGAAACUCAAAGGAAUUGACGGGG
rnacentral:rRNA from 1 species